UGGAUCCAGACUUUGAUUAUGGCUCAGGAUGAACGCUAGCUACAGGCUUAACACAUGCAAGUCGAGGGGAAACGACAUCGAAAGCUUGCUUUUGAUGGGCGUCGACCGGCGCACGGGUGAGUAACGCGUAUCCAACCUGCCCACCACUUGGGGAUAACCUUGCGAAGGUAAGACUAAUACCCAAUGACGUCUCUAGAAGACAUCUGAAAGAGAUUAAAGAUUUAUCGGUGAUGGAUGGGGAUGCGUCUGAUUAGCUUGUUGGCGGGGUAACGGCCCACCAAGGCGACGAUCAGUAGGGGUUCUGAGAGGAAGGUCCCCCACAUUGGAACUGAGACACGGUCCAAACUCCUACGGGAGGCAGCAGUGAGGAAUAUUGGUCAAUGGACGAGAGUCUGAACCAGCCAAGUAGCGUGCAGGAAGACGGCCCUAUGGGUUGUAAACUGCUUUUAUAAGGGAAUAAAGUGAGAGUCGUGACUCUUUUUGCAUGUACCUUAUGAAUAAGGACCGGCUAAUUCCGUGCCAGCAGCCGCGGUAAUACGGAAGGUCCGGGCGUUAUCCGGAUUUAUUGGGUUUAAAGGGAGCGUAGGCCGGAGAUUAAGCGUGUUGUGAAAUGUAGGCGCUCAACGUCUGCACUGCAGCGCGAACUGGUUUCCUUGAGUACGCACAAAGUGGGCGGAAUUCGUGGUGUAGCGGUGAAAUGCUUAGAUAUCACGAAGAACUCCGAUUGCGAAGGCAGCUCACUGGAGCGCAACUGACGCUGAAGCUCGAAAGCGCGGGUAUCGAACAGGAUUAGAUACCCUGGUAGUCCGCACGGUAAACGAUGGAUGCCCGCUGUUGGUCUGAAUAGGUCAGCGGCCAGGCGAAAGCAUUAAGCAUCCCACCUGGGGAGUACGCCGGCAACGGUGCAACUCAAAUGAAUUGACGGA
rnacentral:rRNA from 1 species